UAAUAUAGAUAAAUAUUCUUGUUGAAUUGAACUGUCUAUCCUUAUAUACUACCUGAUAUGGUUUGGCUCUGUGUCCCCACCCACAUCUAAUUUUAUAGUCCCCAUAAUUCCUGUGUGUUGUGGGAAGGACCUGGUGGGAGAUGAUUGAAUUAUAGGGGUGGGUAUUUCCCAUGCUGUUCUCAUGAUAGUGAAGGGGUCUCAUGAUAUCUGAUGGUUUUAAAAACAGGAGUUGCCCUGCACAAGCUCUCUUUGCCUGCCACCAUCCAUGUAAGAUGUGACUUACUUCUCCUUGCCUUCCACCAAGAAUGUGAGGCUUCCCCACCCACAUGGAACUAAAAGUCAUUAUUGAAGAAUUAUGCUACUAUUCCUUGCUGAGAUGGAUGAGGGAAGGAAAAACAUAAUCUUAUUAACUUUUAAAAUUAUAUUUCAUUUAUGAGCUUUGGCAAUGAAACAACUCAGUGACAACCUGAGAAACACAGAAAUCAGACCUGUGAGAUUUGUGGAAUCUAAUAUAGUUUCACUGCAGGAGAUUUCAACGUGUAAAUCCUAAAUGCAAGAAAAAGGGCCCUAAAGGUUAACAUUUACAUACUUUUUUUUAAUUUUAAAAAUUCCAUGUUCCCAUCAAAAUUUAUAAAUUCCUGGGCAGCACCAUAGUGUACACAUGGGGACAAAUAAAGUAAAGCCAAAAGAGCAAAAUAAACAUGAAAUAUGUACAA